rnacentral:rRNA from 1 species
GACGUAGGGGGCCAGCGUUGUUCGGAAUUACUGGGUGUAAAGGGUUCGUAGGCGGUGUAGCAAGUCGGGAGUGAAAUCUCUGGGCUUAACCCAGAGGCUGCUUCCGAAACUGCUGUGCUUGAGUGUGGGAGAGGCGCGUGGAAUUGCAGGUGUAGCGGUGAAAUGCGUAGAUAUCUGCAGGAACACCCGUGGCGAAAGCGGCGCGCUGGACCACUACUGACGCUGAGGAACGAAAGCUAGGGGAGCAAACAGG